ACCCUGUCUGUCUGUGUGCAUUUAGAGCACGUUCUCAAGAUCGAGUCUGAUUCUCACAACGACCCCAAGUAACCACAAUGACAAGUGUGAUGAGUUUCCCACAGUUCACAGAACAAGAUGGGAAGAAUGGUCCAGAAUCAUCCCACAGAAAUCCUUUCUUCGUGAUGUGCAAUGGAUGCUAUCAUUUCAGUCACCAUGAUGUCGAAGUGGGAAUCGAUAUUUGAGGGGAGGGAAAUAUCCCAACCCUGACCAUCUACUGAACAAUGACUCACCAAUAGCUGCACAACAGUCAGGACAGAGCACAUGUCCGGAAAAUUUCAUUUUAAUUUGCCUCAGCUGGGACUACAGUUACUGUUUGAAAGAAAGAACAAUCAACAAAGUACCUAGGAAAGAAGACAUCUUGCAACACUCUUCAAUUUCUUCUUAAAUGCUUGGGGGAAACGUGAAAAAUUUUGAUAAAUAGGAAAACAAAAUUGUUGG
rnacentral:lncRNA from 10 species